rnacentral:rRNA from 1 species
UACAGAGGUCUCAAGCGUUGUUCGGAUUCAUUGGGCGUAAAGGGUGCGUAGGCGGCGCGGUAAGUCGGAUGUGAAAUCUCGGAGCUUAACUUCGAAACUGCAUUCGAUACUGCCGUGCUUGAGGACUGGAGAGGAGACUGGAAUUUACGGUGAGCGGUGAAAUGCGUAGAUAUCGUAAGGAAGACCAGUGGCGAAGGCGGGGUCUCUGGACAGUUC